rnacentral:rRNA from 1 species
CCAAUAGCGUAUAUUAAAGUUGUUGCAGUUAAAAAGCUCGUAGUUGAACUUCGGGGUCUACCCAUUGGUCAGGCUUAAUUGUCUGUACUGGUGAGAUGGAUCUCUACCUUCUGAGGAACUUUCAUGCCAUUUAUUUGGUGUGGUUGGAAAUCAGGACUGUUACUUUGAAAAAAUUAGAGUGUUUAAAGCAGACUAUCGUCUGAAUACAUUAGCAUGGAAUAAUGAAAUAGGACGGACUGAUUCUAUUUCGUUGGUUUCUAGGAUCACCGUAAUGAUUAAUAGGGAUAGUUGGGGGCAUUAGUAUUCAAUUGUCAGAGGUGAAAUUCUUGGAUUUAUUGAAGACUAACUACUGCGAAAGCAUUUGCCAAGGAUGUUUUCAUUAAUCAAGAACGAAAGUUAGGGGAUCGAAGACGAUCAGAUACCGUCGUAGUCUUAACCAUAAACUAUGCCGACUAGGGAUCGGACGAAGUUAAUUUUAUAAUGACGCGUUCGGCACCUUACA